GAUGAACGCUAGCGGCAGGCCUAAUACAUGCAAGUCGAACGGUGUCUUCGGACAUAGUGGCGCACGGGUGCGUAACACGUAUGCAACCUACCUUACAUUGGGGGAUGGCCUUUCGAAAGGGAGAUUAAUACCGCAUAAGACAGUAGCUGGGCAUCCAGCAGCUGUUAAAGAUUUAUCGAUGUAAGCUGGGCAUGCGUCCAAUUAGCUAGUUGGUGAGGUAACGGCUCACCAAGGCGACGAUCACUAGGGGAUCUGAGAGGACUACCCCCCACACUGGUACUGAGACACGGACCAGACUCCUACGGGAGGCAGCAGUAAGGAAUAUUGGUCAAUGGAGGCAACUCUGAACCAGCCAUGCCGCGUGCAGGAAGACGGUCCUAUGGAUUGUAAACUGCUUUUAUACCAGAGAAAAUCAUUGUACGUGUACGAUGUUGAUAGUAUGGUAAGAAUAAGGAUCGGCUAACUUCGUGCCAGCCGCCGCGGUAAAAC
rnacentral:rRNA from 1 species